GGCGCAAUGGUCUAGUAGCAUGAUUCUUCCUUCGGGUGGAAGAGGUCCCGGGUUCAAUUCCCGGUUGCGCCC
rnacentral:tRNA from 1 species